AUUGAACGCUGGCGGCAGGCCUAACACAUGCAAGUCGAGCGGUAGCACAGAGAGCUUGCUCUCGGGUGACGAGCGGCGGACGGGUGAGUAAUGUCUGGGAAACUGCCUGAUGGAGGGGGAUGACUACUGGAAACGGUAGCUAAUACCGCAUAACGUCGCAAGACCAAAGUGGGGGACCUUCGGGCCUCAUGCCAUCAGAUGUGCCCAGAUGGGAUUAGCUAGUAGGUGGGGUAACGGCUCACCUAGGCGACGAUCCCUAGCUGGUCUGAGAGGAUGACCAGCCACACUGGAACUGAGACACGGCCCAGACUCCUACGGGAGGCAGCAGUGGGGAAUAUUGCACAAUGGGCGCAAGCCUGAUGCAGCCAUGCCGCGUGUGUGAAGAAGGCCUUCGGGUUGUAAAGCACUUUCAGCGGGGAAGAAGGCGGUGAGGUUAAUAACCUUGUCGAUUGACGUUACCCGCAGAAGAAGCACCGGCUAACUCCGUGCCAGCAGCCGCGGUAAUACGGAGGGUGCAAGCGUUAAUCGGAAUUACUGGGCGUAAAGCGCACGCAGGCGGUCUGUCAAGUCGGAUGUGAAAUCCCCGGGCUCAACCUGGGAACUGCAUUCGAAACUGGCAGGCUAGAGUCUUGUAGAGGGGGGUAGAAUUCCAGGUGUAGCGGUGAAAUGCGUAGAGAUCUGGAGGAAUACCGGUGGCGAAGGCGGCCCCCUGGACAAAGACUGACGCUCAGGUGCGAAAGCGUGGGGAGCAAACAGGAUUAGAUACCCUGGUAGUCCACGCCGUAAACGAUGUCGAUUUGGAGGUUGUGCCCUUGAGGCGUGGCUUCCGGAGCUAACGCGUUAAAUCGACCGCCUGGGGAGUACGGCCGCAAGGUUAAAACUCAAAUGAAUUGACGGGGGCCCGCACAAGCGGUGGAGCAUGUGGUUUAAUUCGAUGCAACGCGAAGAACCUUACCUGGUCUUGACAUCCACAGAACUUUCCAGAGAUGGAUUGGUGCCUUCGGGAACUGUGAGACAGGUGCUGCAUGGCUGUCGUCAGCUCGUGUUGUGAAAUGUUGGGUUAAGUCCCGCAACGAGCGCAACCCUUAUCCUUUGUUGCCAGCGGUUAGGCCGGGAACUCAAAGGAGACUGCCAGUGAUAAACUGGAGGAAGGUGGGGAUGACGUCAAGUCAUCAUGGCCCUUACGACCAGGGCUACACACGUGCUACAAUGGCAUAUACAAAGAGAAGCGACCUCGCGAGAGCAAGCGGACCUCAUAAAGUAUGUCGUAGUCCGGAUUGGAGUCUGCAACUCGACUCCAUGAAGUCGGAAUCGCUAGUAAUCGUAGAUCAGAAUGCUACGGUGAAUACGUUCCCGGGCCU
rnacentral:rRNA from 1 species